rnacentral:lncRNA from 1 species
GCUAAGUAGAGGUGACAAGGUGAAAUGCCCUAAAACCAAUAAUAAAUAUGACAUUUUUAAUGUGUAUAUAUGACAAUUAAAUAAAUUAAGCUAAUUUAAUUUCAUAAUAAGAUAUAUAAUACCUCUGGAAUAGUCGGUUGAAAAUUACAAUUGAUACUAUCUUUGUCACUAGUAUCUUUAAAACCCGCUGCUCGAUCUCUUUCUCUUUCCUUUCUUAAUUCAAGAACUUCAGCUUUUAAUGCUUCCAAAGUUUGCUGCAGUUCUUUAUUGCUAGGAGUCUUUUGUUUUUUAAUA